AUCGAACGCUGGCGGCAUGCUUAACACAUGCAAGUCGAACGGACAGCAAUGUCUUUGGCGUGCGGUUGGGUAACGCGUAGGAACUUAUCCUUAGGUGUGGGACUACCCCGGGAAACUGAUGCUAAUACCACAUAUGUGCUAAUGCCCAAAUCCGGGAGGCGCGUUUGGGGGGGCGUGGGUCCGAUUAGUUAGUUGGUGGGGUAAACGCAUAGCAAGCCUUGGUUAGGUAGCUGGUAGGAGAGGACGACCACCCACACUGGUCAUGAGACACGGACCAGAAUCGUACGGGAGGGAGGAGAGGGGAAUAUAGGACAAGGGGGGAAAGCCUGAUAAAGCAAUGACGGGUGAGUGAAGAAGGUCUUUGGAUAGUAAAGUCCUUUGGAAGGUGACGAUGAUGACGGUAACAGUAGAAGAAGCCCCGGCUAACUUCGUG
rnacentral:rRNA from 1 species